rnacentral:rRNA from 1 species
UGCAGUCGAACGGCAGCACAGGAGAGCUUGCUCUCUGGGUGGCGAGUGGCGGACGGGUGAGGAAUACAUCGGAAUCUACUUUUUCGUGGGGGAUAACGUAGGGAAACUUACGCUAAUACCGCAUACGACCUACGGGUGAAAGCAGGGGAUCUUCGGACCUUGCGCGAUUGAAUGAGCCGAUGUCGGAUUAGCUAGUUGGCGGGGUAAAGGCCCACCAAGGCGACGAUCCGUAGCUGGUCUGAGAGGAUGAUCAGCCACACUGGAACUGAGACACGGUCCAGACUCCUACGGGAGGCAGCAGUGGGGAAUAUUGGACAAUGGGCGCAAGCCUGAUCCAGCCAUACCGCGUGGGUGAAGAAGGCCUUCGGGUUGUAAAGCCCUUUUGUUGGGAAAGAAAUCCAGCUGGUUAAUACCCGGUUGGGAUGACGGUACCCAAAGAAUAAGCACCGGCUAACUUCGUGCCAGCA